rnacentral:rRNA from 1 species
UGCUGCAUGGCUGUCGUCAGCUCGUGCCGUGAGGUGCUGGGUUAAGUCCCGCAACGAGCGCAACCCUUGUCUUUAGUUGCCAUCAUUAAGUUGGGCACUCUAAAGAGACUGCCGGUGUCAAACCGGAGGAAGGUGGGGAUGACGUCAAGUCCUCAUGGCCUUUAUGACCAGGGCUACACACGUACUACAAUGGCAGGUACAAAGGGCAGCCACUUAGCGAUAAGGCGCGAAUCCCAUAAAACCUGUCUCAGUCCGGAUUGGAGUCUGCAACUCGACUCCAUGAAGUUGGAAUCGCUAGUAAUCGUAGAUCAGCACGCUACGGUGAAUACGUUCCCGGGCCUU